GGACUCUGGUGUGGUGCAGUGGUUAGCAUGUCAGAGUAGGACCUGGGAGACCAGGGUUCGAAUCCCUCCCUGGCCA